rnacentral:rRNA from 1 species
ACGAACGCUGGCGGCGUGCUUAACACAUGCAAUCGAACGGAAAGGCCCUGCUUUUGUGGGGUGCUCGAGUGGCGAACGGGUGAGUAACACGUGAGUAACCUGCCCUUGACUUUGGGAUAACUUCAGGAAACUGGGGCUAAUACCGGAUAGGAGCUCCUGCUGCAUGGUGGGGGUUGGAAAGUUUCGGCGGUUGGGGAUGGACUCGCGGCUUAUCAGCUUGUUGGUGGGGUAGUGGCUUACCAAGGCUUUGACGGGUAGCCGGCCUGAGAGGGUGACCGGCCACAUUGGGACUGAGAUACGGCCCAGACUCCUACGGGAGGCAGCAGUGGGGAAUAUUGCACAAUGGGCGGAAGCCUGAUGCAGCAACGCCGCGUGCGGGAUGACGGCCUUCGGGUUGUAAACCGCUUUCGCCUGUGACGAAGCGUGAGUGACGGUAAUGGGUAAAGAAGCACCGGCUAACUACGUG